UCCAGACUCCUACGGGAGGCAGCAGUGGGGGAUAUUGCACAAUGGGGGGAACCCUGAUGCAGCGACGCCGCGUGGGUGAAGGAGCGUUUCGGCGCGUAAAGCCCUAUCGGCAGGGAAGAAGGAGGACGGUACCUGACUAAGAAGCCCCGGCUAACUACGUGCCAGCAGCCGCGGUAAUACGUAGGGGGCAAGCGUUAUCCGGAUUUACUGGGUGUAAAGGGAGCGUAGACGGCGACGCAAGUCUGGAGUGAAAGCCCGGGGCCCAACCCCGGGACUGCUCUUGGAACUGCGCGGCUGGAGUGCAGGAGGGGCAGGCGGAAUUCCUGGUGUAGCGGUGAAAUGCGUAGAUAUCAGGAGGAACACCGGUGGCGAAGGCGGCCUGCUGGACUGCGACUGACGUUGAGGCCCGAAAGCGUGGGGAGCAAACAGGAUUAGAUACCCCCGACG
rnacentral:rRNA from 1 species